rnacentral:rRNA from 1 species
GACGAACGCUGGCGGUGUGCUUAACACAUGCAAGUCGAACGGUAAGGCCCUUUCGGGGGUCCACGACUGGCGAACGGGUGCGUACGACGUGGGUAAUCUGCCCUCAUUUCUGGUUUAACAGUCGGAACCGGUUGCUAAUACCGGUAAUAACCUAUACAGGCUUCUUGUGGGUUGGAAAGAUUUUUUUUGGUUGGGGAUUGACUUGGGGCGUAUCCGCUUGUUGGUGUGGAAGUGGCUCACCCAGGCUUCGACGGGGAGCCGGCCUGAGAGGGCGAGGGGACACAUUGGGACUCAGAGACGGGCCGAAGUCGUACGGGAGGCAGCAAUGGGGAAUAUUGGACAAAGGACGGAAGUCUGAUGCAGCAACGCCUCGGGCUGGAUGACGGCCUUCGUGGUGUAAGCAGCGUUCAAUGGUGACGAAGCUUUGUUGUGACGGUAGCAGUAGAAGAAGCACCGGCUAACUACGUG